rnacentral:rRNA from 1 species
UACGUAGGUGGCAAGCGUUGUCCGGAUUUAUUGGGCUUAAAGGGUGCGUAGGCGGCUCCUUAAGUCAGUGCUGAAAUACUCUAGCUUAACUAGAGGGGUGGCAUUGAUACUGAGGAGCUUGAGUAGAGUCGAGGUAGGCGGAAUUGACGGUGUAGCGGUGAAAUGCUUAGAUAUCGUCAAGAACACCGAUAGUGUAGACAGCUUACUGGGCUUCAACUGACGCUGAGGCACGAAAGUGUGGGGAGCAAACAGG